rnacentral:rRNA from 1 species
GAGUUUGAUCAUGGCUCAGAUUGAACGCUGGCGGCAUGCCUUACACAUGCAAGUCGAACGGCAGCACGGGAGCAAUCCUGGUGGCGAGUGGCGAACGGGUGAGUAAUGUAUCGGAACGUGCCCAGUCGUGGGGGAUAACGCAGCGAAAGCUGUGCUAAUACCGCAUACGAUCUAUGGAUGAAAGCGGGGGAUCGCAAGACCUCGCGCGAUUGGAGCGGCCGAUAUCAGAUUAGGUAGUUGGUGAGGUAAAGGCUCACCAAGCCGACGAUCUGUAGCUGGUCUGAGAGGACGACCAGCCACACUGGGACUGAGACACGGCCCAGACUCCUACGGGAGGCAGCAGUGGGGAAUUUUGGACAAUGGGCGCAAGCCUGAUCCAGCAAUGCCGCGUGCAGGACGAAGGCCUUC